rnacentral:rRNA from 1 species
CGAAUCAUAUCCUAGGCACUGUUUAAAUCACAUGUGGGACAUAUAUUAGAUGACAAAGAAGUACGCUACAGGAAAAUAAAGUGACAUCCAUUUCAUAAAAGGCUUUGAACUGUAGGUUUUCCUCCUUUUUCUCAAGUAGGAACCAAAGAUGAAAAUAACAGACCAAAUAUUAGAUAAACACACGACAUACAUGGGCCAACUAACUAAUGAAGUCGUCUGUUCCCGAAAAUAGAAAUCUUGAGCCCAAAUAUCAAAAUGUUCAAGAAAUUUUUACAUAGGUACCUUGGAUAUAGCUGCCUAUUAACAGAAGGAGGCACUGAGAGUAGCCUGGUUAUAAUAUGUGCCUGAAACCUGGAGAGAUUAGUUUCCAAAUAAAGAGGCAAAUAAGGUCAUUUCCGGAGGUGUGCGUCAACCAAUAACUCAAAAGAAAAUUCCCGACAAACAACAAUUUAUAUAUCCACCUAGAUGAUCUUGGCAAUUAUCAAGUAUGCUGAUAAUAUAUAUCUACAAUUCUUGUAUUGUUUGCCCCGCAAAAAAGAUAAUAUAUAUCUACAGCAGAGAGGAAUCACCAUGCCAUCAAAUAUUUCUAUCUAUAAAGAAACAACUUCUUAGUGAGGCUUGAAAUAAGAAUAUACCAUCAUUAAUUUGGAGAUAAUACACCCUGACAUGUUUGGACCAUUGUUCCCACUAUUUCUAAGUAUCAAUGCUUUUACUUAUCUCCUAAAUUAUCACGUUCUAAGCUAAUAGACUAACAUACAAAAUGGAAGACUGAUAUUUUAGAUUCAAAAGAAAAUUCAAUGAGCAUAGACUACUGAAACUUAUAUCUGAAUAGCACCACUAUUGGUCCAUGGCAUCUGGCCGCUGCAGCAACACCAUUUUUAGCACCAGUGACAGCAUCAAUUGACAUCAUAGAUAGAUAGUUAAGGUUGUUGGCUUCUUGAGUAAGACCAUAGCAGUCCCAGGUCACAUCACCCUCGACAGGAGAAGAGCCGCAAGGCAGCUAAUUGACAGCCACUUUAUCAGUACG